UCUGGUCCUCAGUGUUUUCAUCUCACAGU
rnacentral:piRNA from 1 species